rnacentral:sRNA from 1 species
UAACGCCAAAAGUUUCUUCUCGAUCCCAC